rnacentral:tRNA from 2 species
UGGGCCCUUAGCUCAGUUGGGAGAGUGCCUGCUUCGCAUGCAGGAGGUCGUCGGUUCAAAUCCGGUAGGGUCCAU